UUGGAGGGCAAGUCUGGUGCCCGCAGCCGCGGUAAUUCCAGCUCCAAUAGCGUAUAUUAAAGUUGUUGCAGUUAAAAAGCUCGUAGUUGAAUUUCGGGGUUCUACCGUUGGUCGGGCAAUAGUCUGUACUGGCGUGUAGAAUUUCUACCUUCUGGGGAACUAUCAUGUUAUUUAUUUAGCGUGGUAGGAAACCAGGACCUUUACCUUGAAAAAAUUAGAGUGUUCAAAGCAGGCUUACGUCUGAAUACAUUAGCAUGGAAUAAUAAAAUAGGACGGUGGUCCUGUUUUGUUGG
rnacentral:rRNA from 1 species